rnacentral:rRNA from 1 species
CACGUAGGGGGCAAGCGUUGUCCGGAUUUAUUGGGCGUAAAGAGCUCGUAGGUGGUUCGGUAAGUCGGGUGUGAAACCUCCAGGCUCAACCUGGAGACGCCACCCGAUACUGCUGUGACUGGAGUCCGGUAGGGGAGCGUGGUAUUCCUGGUGUAGCGGUGAAAUGCGCAGAUAUCAGGAGGAACACCAGCGGCGAAGGCGGCGCUCUGGGCCGGUACUGACACUGAGGAGCGAAAGCGUGGGUAGCAAACAGG